AGUGAACGCUGGCGGUAGACCUAACACAUGCAAGUCGAACGGCAGCACAGUAAGAGCUUGCUCUUACGGGUGGCGAGUGGCGGACGGGUGAGGAAUACAUCGGAAUCUACUUUUUCGUGGGGGAUAACGUAGGGAAACUUACGCUAAUACCGCAUACGACCUACGGGUGAAAGCAGGGGAUCUUCGGACCUUGCGCGAUUGAAUGAGCCGAUGUCGGAUUAGCUAGUUGGCGGGGUAAAGGCCCACCAAGGCGACGAUCCGUAGCUGGUCUGAGAGGAUGAUCAGCCACACUGGAACUAGAAAACGGUCCAGACUCCUACGGGAGGCAGCAGUGGGGAAUAUUGGACAAUGGGCGCAAGCCUGAUCCAGCCAUACCGCGUGGGUGAAGAAGGCCUUCGGGUUGUAAAGCCCUUUUGUUGGGAAAGAAAAGAAGCAGGUUAAUACCCCGCUGUUCUGACGGUACCCAAAGAAUAAGCACCGGCUAACUUCGU
rnacentral:rRNA from 1 species